AUCCAGCUGACGGGUCCCAAAUACGACGAAACGUGCAUCCUGGAU
rfam:Schistosoma mansoni, Puerto Rico, WGS project CABG01000000 data, contig: 0138